UGCCCCGGUAGACCAACGGCAGAGUCAAUGGUCUCAAACACCAUCCAGUGUGGGUUCGAAUCCCACCCGGGGCACCCA
rnacentral:tRNA from 1 species